CCGCCCGUCACACCAUGGGAGUGGGUUGCAAAAGAAGUWGGUAGCUUAACCUUCGGGAGGGCGCUUACCACUUUGUGAUUCAUGACUGGGGUGAAGUCGUAACAAGGUAACCGUAGGGGAACCUGCGGUUGGAUCACCUCCUUACCUUAAAGAAGC
rnacentral:rRNA from 1 species